CAUGUUAUUCAAUCCUUCAGCAAGGUAUCAAUCCUUAAUUUAUUCCCAUAAUAUUUGAUAACUUCUUUAUAGCCAGAUAAAUCAGUGCACGGUAUGACCAGCUUGAGCUGCCUGACAGGAACUGAAAGCGACCUCAGGAAAUCACUGGCUAUUUUUCACAUCCUGAUCAAGUGAGCGUAGGUGUUUAUACCAGGGAGCUGUUAAAAUUUAACAGAUCAGCACACUAUUUCUGGCUACCCAUUGAGAGCAUUCGUGUUAUCGUGUUUAAUUG